ACAGCGUGCGAGCUAUCAUAUUGAACGGGGGAAAAGCGUAGAGCCGAGUCUGCGGCCAAUCUUGAAGGAACGCAUCCGUUGCUACUGCCGCCGGAUCCGGUCUCCAGCUGAAGAACUUGGGCACUUGCGCGUUGAGACGGGACACGAAAAGGUCCACGUCGAAUGGGCCCCAAAUGUGGUCCAGACCCUGGAAGGCCGUAGCGUGCAAGCGCCAAUCUCCAGAAUCUCUCAAAUAGCGUGAGUUCCAAUCGGCCGUUGAGUUGUCCAGACCCGGAAUAUGUUCCGCCUGCACGGAA